GGCGAGGUGCGGGAGCGGCUGAUCCGAGCAGUCUUGAAAACUGCCAUACCUGAAAAGGUAUCGUGAGUUCGAAUCUCACCCUCGCCG
rnacentral:tRNA from 1 species